UACAGAGGGGGCAAGCGUUGUUCGGAAUUACUGGGCGUAAAGGGCGCGUAGGCGGCCUUCUAAGUCGAACGUGAAAUCCCCGGGCUCAACCCGGGAACUGCGUCCGAUACUGGAAGGCUUGAAUCCGGGAGAGGGAUGCGGAAUUCCAGGUGUAGCGGUGAAAUGCGUAGAUAUCGUAAGGAAGACCAGUGGCGAGGGCGGGUCUCUGGACAGUUCCUGACGCUGAGGCACGAAGGCCAGGGGAGCAAACGGG
rnacentral:rRNA from 1 species